UAGUAGAAGCUAUGACAGGUGCAAGGAAGGAUCACAAAGGGCCUUCUGGUCACACUAAGAACUCUGGCAUUUACUCUAAAUAAGAUUAAGUCCUUAGAGUGUGCUGAAAAAGAGAACUAGCGUGAUCCAACCGAAGCAUUAACCUUUGCCUGCAGGUUGAUAAUAGGGCAGAGGAGACCAGUAAAGAAACCAUUGUGAAGAUCCAGACAAGAACCUACAGUAGCUUAGACCAGAUGGCAGCAAGACUGUGAAAAGGAAACUCUGGUUGUCUUGGUAACAGAGAUGACAUAAUUUGUUGUGGGACCAGAACGCUCAAGGCUGAUGGAAGCAUCUACUCUACUGCCAAGUGGUCUGACUGAAAUUGGAUUGGUUGGUGCUGUAUGAUCUCGACUGGAGCACUUCCUAGGAAGAGACGGCGUUCGAGGAAGCCUGAACUAAGUGAACUGACCACUGCAGAAGAGAACGCGGGAGGCUGUGGCUUUGGCAAGCUCCCGCAGAUGUGACGCUGACCCUCAUCACUCGCGAGACAGGAACACACAGUGAUGCUAACCUAGCUAGAAAUGAGUCAGGGCCCUUGAGGUUCCACAAAUACCCGUGAAAGGCAUCUUAUCAACAUGUGACCACUUGAGAGAGGGACAGAACCAACGGGAUGCUUCUGAUAACCUCAAGCAUCCCGGC